rnacentral:lncRNA from 1 species
UUAAAAUACUCGGAAUAUUGGAUCUUUACUCUUUUCUUUAGUUAUAUUUACUAUUUAGAAUGAGUAAUUAAUCAUUAUUUUUGGAGAAUGAAGAGGAUCUAUAAUGAAGAUGCAAAAUAAUAAAUGGGAAUUAGGAAUUUAGCGGUCCCAUUCAUUAGUACACAUUUAAGUUUAAUAUUAUUCCUGCCUUAGACAAGACUAAAGUUGAAUCCAGACAUUACUUAUUUUUCCAAAUACCCGGAGCAUGAGGACUCGAACUUUUCCUGAACAUUGAAAAGUAUUUACUACAUAACAGAUACAGUUUUUGACUGUAUUUACAAUGAAUAAUUAUUUAUGGAAUAUGAAGAGAAUCUAAUUCAAUAUGUAAGAUAAUUAAUUAAAAUUACGAAUAUAGGUACAUACAAGUAUAAUAUUAAAAAUAUAUCUAAACAUUUCGUUUCUUAUAUUGAUCCUUCUAUGUAGGUUCUAUUGAUGAUAAGCUCGACGAAAAAUGUAGAAGCAUCAUUCAUUAGUACAUAUUUAUGUUGUGUGCACAUAAUAAAAGAGGUAUAAUAGGCUGUGAAUAGAUUACGUUA